rnacentral:rRNA from 1 species
GACGAACGCUGGCGGCGUGCCUAAUACAUGCAAGUUGAGCGCUGAAGGUUGGUACUUGUACCAACUGGAUGAGCAGCGAACGGGUGAGUACGCGUGGGGAAUCUGCCUUUGAGCGGGGGACAACAUUUGGAAACGAAUGCCAAUACCGCAUAAAAAAUUUAAACACAAGUUUUAAGUUUGAAAGAUGCAAUUGCAUCACUCAAAGAUGAUCCCGCGUUGUAUUAGCUAGUUGGUGAGGUAAAGGCUCACCAAGGCGAUGAUACAUAGCCGACCUGAGAGGGUGAUCGGCCACAUUGGGACUGAGACGCGGCCCAAACUCCUACGGGAGGCAGCAGUAGGGAAUCUUCGGCAAUGGACGAAAGUCUGACCGAGCAACGCCGCGUGAGUGAAGAAGGUUUUCGGAUCGUAAAACUCUGUUGGUAGAGAAGAACGUUGGUGAGAGUGGAAAGCUCAUCAAGUGACGGUAACUACCCAGAAAGGGACGGCUAACUACGUG